rnacentral:rRNA from 1 species
UUGGUCCUACGGGAGGCAGCAGUGAGGAAUAUUGGUCAAUGGCCGGAAGGCUGAACCAUCCCCUCCUCUUUCCUGCCGCAGGUGCCAAGCAUUGUAAACUUCUUUUGUCAAGGGACAAAAUCAGGCUCGAGAGCCUGACCGAGGGUACUUGAAGAAAAAGCAUCGGCUAACUCCGUGCCAGCAGCCGCGGUAAUACGGAGGAUGCGAGCGUUAUCCGGAUUUAUUGGGUUUAAAGGGUGCGUAGGCGGACUGUUAAGUCAGCGGUAAAAGCCCGGGGCUCAACCCCGGCGAGCCGUUGAAACUGG